rnacentral:rRNA from 1 species
AAAACAUGUCUUUUUGAAAAAUAAUUUAAAGUCUAAUCUGCCCACUGAAAAUUUUUAAAGGGCUGCAGUAUAUUGACUGUACAAAGGUAGCAUAAUCAAUAGUCUUUUAAUUGGAGACUUGUAUGAAUGAUUUGAUGAAAUAUAAACUGUCUCUUUAUUAUGUAUUAGAAUUUAAUUUUUUAGUCAAAAAGCUAAAAUAGAUAUAAAAGACGAGAAGACCCUAUAGAGUUUUAUUUUUAUUUAUAUUUAAAAUAUUUAUAAAAUUUAUAUUUUAAAUAUAAAUAAAAAUUUUGUUGGGGUGAUAGAAAAAUUAAAGAAACUUUUUUUAAAUAUUAAACAUAAAUAAAUGAUUUUUUGAUCCAUAAUUUAUGAUUAUAAGAAUAAAUUACCUUAGGGAUAACAGCGUAAUUUUUUUUUUUAGUUCUUAUAAAAAAAANAGUUUGCGACCUCGAUGUUGGAUUAAGAUAAAAUUUAAAUGCAAAAGUUUAAAAUUUUGAUCUGUUCGAUCAUUAAAAUCUUACAUGAUCUGA